UGAGGAAUAUUGGGCAAUGCCCGAAAGGGUGACCCAGCAACGCCGCGUGGAGGAUGAAGGUCGUAAGAUUGUAAACUCCUGUUAGAGGGGAAGAAUAACUAAGUUUGGAGCUUAGUAUGACUGUACCCUCAGAGAAAGCCCCGGCUAACUACGUGCCAGCAGCCGCGGUAAUACGUAGGGGGCAAGCGUUGUCCGGAUUUACUGGGUGUAAAGGGCGCGCAGGCGGGAUAAAAAGUCAGUGGUGAAAUCCUACAGCUUAACUGUAGAACUGCCAUUGAUACUUUUAUUCUUGAGUUCGGGAGAGAGAGACGGAAUUCCAGGUGUAGUGGUGAAAUACGUAGAUAUCUGGAAGAACACCAGUUGCGAAGGCGGUCUCUUGGUCCGACACUGACGCUGAGGCGCGAAAGCGUGGG
rnacentral:rRNA from 1 species